UGUGAUGGGGAGCGAAAUUUAGUAGCGAAGUAGCUGAUUUCACACUGUCAAGAAAAGUCUCUAUCGAGGUUAAAGGUACCCGUACCGCAAACCGACACAGGUGGGUGAGGAGAGUAUCCUAAGGCCAGCGAGAGAACUGUUGUUAAGGAACUCGGCAAAAUGACCCCGUAACUUAGGGAUAAGGGGUGCCACCAUCAGGUGGCCGCAGAGAAUAGGCCCAAGCGACUGUUUACCAAAAACAUAGGUUUCUGCUAAGUCGCAAGACGAUGUAUAGGAGCUGACGCCUGCCCGGUGCUGGAAGGUUAAGGGGAUCUGUUAGAGCAAUCGAAGCAGUGAACUUAAGCCCCAGUAAACGGCGGCCGUAACUAUAACGGUCCUAAGGUAGCGAAAUUCCUUGUCGGGUAAGUUCCGACCCGCACGAAAGGCGUAACGAUUUGGGCACUGUCUCAACAACAGACUCGGUGAAAUUGUAAUUCCGGUGAAGAUGCCGGAUACCUGCGACAGGACGGAAAGACCCCAUGGAGCUUUACUGUAGCUUGACAUUGGGUCUUGGUACUACAUGUACAGGAUAGGUGGGAGGCUUUGAAACCAGGACGCCAGUUUUGGCGGAGCCAUCCUUGGGAUACCACCCUUGUAGUACUGGGACUCUAACCAUAGGCCAUGAAUCUGGUCUUGGGACACUGUCAGGUGGGCAGUUUGACUGGGGCGGUCGCCUCCCAAAAGGUAACGGAGGCGCUCAAAGGUUCUCUCAGUACGGUCGGAAAUCGUACGUAGAGUGUAAAGGCAAAAGAGAGCUUGAUUGCAAGACAUACAGGUCGAGCAAGGAUGAAAAUCGGACUUAGUGAUCCGGUGGUUCUGCGUGGAAGGGCCAUCGCUCAACGGAUAAAAGCUACCCUGGGGAUAACAGGCUUAUCUCCCCCAAGAGUCCACAUCGACGGGGAGGUUUGGCACCUCGAUGUCGGCUCAUCACAUCCUGGGGCUGUAGUAGGUCCCAAGGGUUGGGCUGUUCGCCCAUUAAAGUGGUACGCGAGCUGGGUUCAGAACGUCGUGAGACAGUUCGGUCCCUAUCCGUCGCAGGCGUAGGAAAUUUGAGAAGACCUGUCCUUAGUACGAGAGGACCGGGAUGGACGUACCUCUGGUGUACCAGUUGU
rnacentral:rRNA from 1 species